rnacentral:lncRNA from 1 species
CCUAGAGCUCAGUGCAUUGAGCCCCACUCCCUACAGCAGACUCAUUUCCCAGGGACAGCAUCAGGAGAUGGCUAGAGUGGAGCCUCUGAGCCAUGGCCAACUGGAAGCCUCUCUUGCCUGGAGUGAGAGGUACUGCCGGCUGGGAGGAUGCCCCUUUCCCAGAGGCCAGACUAGACCUCAACAGCUUCCAAGUUCCCAGGCUCUCAGGGUGGAUCUCAGCCCAGUUACUCCAUCUCAGUCAUUCACUAGCUGGUCCUCAGCUUGGAGCUGUUAGUACCCUUCCCACGGGAGUCCGGGGGAGUCUCUGGUUAUUCCCCACCCUUUCCAAGGCCAUCCUGGGCAGGGAGCCAAAAAAACAAUUUAUGGAAAAAGCAGAGGCCGAAUAUAAAUUAUUUUUUAACUAUCCUCCGGUUAUCUGAUCACCCGGGAUGUCUGCUCAGUGAAGAAAUCCUGAGUUAAACAUUUCAAGAAGAGACAGCGUCACUUCUUUUUGGGGGGUGCAGCCAGAGGCAGGGUGUGACCCUAGAAGACUCUCCUCCUCUGCUGAGCCACAUGUGU